rnacentral:rRNA from 1 species
GACGAACGCUGGCGGCGUGCUUAACACAUGCAAGUCGAGCGGUAAGGCCCUUUCGGGGGUACACGAGCGGCGAACGGGUGAGUAACACGUGGGUGACCUGCCCUCAGCUCUGGGAUAAGCCUGGGAAACCGGGUCUAAUACUGGAUAUGACUCCAUGACGCAUGUUGUGGGGUGGAAAGCCUUGUGCGGCUGAGGAUGGGCCCGCGGCCUAUCAGCUUGUUGGUGGGGUGANGGCCUACCAAGGCGACGACGGGUAGCCGGCCUGAGAGGGCGACCGGCCACACUGGGACUGAGACACGGCCCAGACUCCGUACGGGAGGCAGGCAGGUGGGGAAUCUUGCGCAAUGGGCGAAAGCCUGACGCAGCGACGCCGCGUGA